AAGAACAUCAAUCAUUCUUCUGUCUUUGAAUACUGGGUUUGUAAAUUGUGGGGUCUUUAAGUUUUUUGGAUUCAUCAUUCCUCUUCCAAUUCCAAAGAAACAUGUAUGCUCAUUUCGGGAAAUCUAAGUAACUGUUAAAAGCUCCAAACUUGUAAAAAUAUAGUUGGUUGGCACCAGAAACUGGGAAAUUCAAAGUGCUUGAUUAUUCAUUGAAUUUGAAACUAAAAGCUACAGCAGACAAAUUGAUGGAUCAUCAAUCCUGAUGAAGCAAAUUCCAAAUCAACCAAAAGCAAGAAAAGAAAAGAAAAGAAAACAGAAACUGUGAAUGUUGGUGUGGGGUGAUAAAUUGACAGAAUAGGAUAGGGGGACUUCUAUCAAUUUAUCAACCCACACCCACAUAUAUGGAGUAGGAAAUUAACUAAAAUCUUCAAAGGUGGCAUGGAUUUGAUUGGACUUUCCAAUUCACUGUGGUGCUAUCUGCUUGCAUUUCUUGGAAUUUGCUACUUUGCCCAUGGGGGUCAUGUUGGGUUGGUUGGCUGAGGCUCCAGACGGAGGUGAAGGAGGAGGAAGCGCAGAGCAGAAAACAGAGGCAACCCAUUUCACCAUGGAUUCAAAAACCAUUGUCUUCACCAACUUCCUCUUGGCUGGGAAAACACUACCCUUCUUGGGUUUGAACCGAUAAUUGGUUGUGAUCACUCCCUCACCUGAAUUCUGCUGCCCGGCCACCAUUUUUCUGCUCUCUCUGCUCUCUCUGUUCCCUCUCUCUGCUCUCUGACAAAAAGGCCCAAAGUUUCUCUUCUACUGUGAUUUUGCUACAAUUGUCCUAUUACUUUCCUCCCUUGGCAGUGGCACAUGAGAUGAGCUCGUUAACUCCAAAUAACCCAUAUUUAUCUAAUUCUUUUGGAAACUGCUUGGACGUUUCUCUCCUUUCCAAAAGUACAAGAAUUGUGGAAUACAUGUUGAAUUCCUCCUUCCUACCACUUUUUCUCCAUUGCAAUUUGCAAGGGUUCACAUGCUGGAGGCUAGUAUCAGCCGUUGGAUUCAAGGAACAAGUGUUAAAUGUGUCCCUUACUCGAUUUAAUGGCUGAUAACAAUGUCCCACCCAGUCCCGCAUCGGGCCUC
rnacentral:lncRNA from 1 species